rnacentral:rRNA from 1 species
UACGUAGGGGGCAAGCGUUGUCCGGAUUUACUGGGCGUAAAGAGCGCGCAGGCGGUCGUUCAAGUCGCGUGUGAAAGCCCCCGGCUCAACUGGGGAGGGUCACUCGAUACUGAUCGACUUGAAGGCAGGAGAGGGAAGCGGAAUUCCCGGUGUAGUGGUGAAAUGCGUAGAUAUCGGGAGGAACACCAGUGGCGAAGGCGGCUUCCUGGCCUGUUCUUGACGCUGAGGCGCGAAAGCUAGGGGAGCAAACGGG